rnacentral:rRNA from 1 species
AUUGAACGCUGGCGGCAGGCCUAACACAUGCAAGUCGAGCGGUAGCACAGGGAGCUUGCUCCUGGGUGACGAGCGGCGGACGGGUGAGUAAUGUCUGGGAAACUGCCUGGUGGAGGGGGAUAACUACUGGAAACGGUAGCUAAUACCGCAUAACGUCGCAAGACCAAAGAGGGGGACCUUCGGGCCUCGUGCCAUCAGAUGUGCCCAGAUGGGAUUAGCUAGUAGGUGGGGUAACGGCUCACCUAGGCGACGAUCCCUAGCUGGUCUGAGAGGAUGACCAGCCACACCGGAACUGAGACACGGUCCAGACUCCUACGGGAGGCAGCAGUGGGGAAUAUUGCACAAUGGGCGCAAGCCUGAUGCAGCCAUGCCGCGUGUAUGAAGAAGGCCUUCGGGUUGUGAAGUACUUUCAGCGGGGAGGAAGGUGUUGAGGUUAAUAACCUCAGCAAUUGACGUUACCCGCAGAAGAAGCACCGGCUAACUCCGUGCCAGCCGCCGCAGUAAAAC